CUAUAUAUUUAUUUUUUUAAAUUUUUAGAAAAUUCAUUUACAUAAUGGGAUUUAGAUUUUCACAGACCUUUUGAAUAAAGAAUCCCUUUUAUGAUAAGAUAAUCCUACUCAAUUAACAAUAUAAAGAAACAUUUUUGGAUUUUAAAAAGAUAGGAGAAUUUUAAGAUUCAGCCAUCCACCGUCAAAUAAAGGAUAAAAUUAUGAUUCUCCAUCAUUCUUGAUGGCCAUCAGUGAAUGCCAAGUAACAAAACAAUAUAUAAAGUCAAAUGUGACUAUAUUAAUUGUAAAACUUCUAAAAUAAGAAGUGACAAAAUAAAUAACCAUUAUAAACAUAAACAUCCUCAUGUCAAGUUAUCUGAUAUCAAAUUUACAAAGAUAGCUAUCAAAAAGGAUAAUAAUUGGGUAUCCUUAAAUAAAGAUAUUCCAUUCAAUAUCACAAAUGGGGUUGAAACCAAGUUACAAAAAAAAUCAAUAACAUCUUACUUCCAAAAACACAAAUCUUUUAUUGAAGAUUCCCAAAUUAUAUUAUCUCAUACAAUGCCCAGUUCCAGUGAUCU